AUUGAACGCUGCGGUAUGCUUUACACAUGCAAGUCGAACGGCAGCACGGACUUCGGUCUGGUGGCGAGUGGCGAACGGGUGAGUAAUGUAUCGGAACGUGCCCAGUAGUGGGGGAUAACUACUCGAAAGAGUGGCUAAUACCGCAUGAGAUCUCUGGAUGAAAGCGGGGGACCGUAAGGCCUCGCGCUACUGGAGCGGCCGAUAUCAGAUUAGGUAGUUGGUAGGGUAAAGGCCUACCAAGCCAACGAUCUGUAGCUGGUCUGAGAGGACGACCAGCCACACUGGAACUGAGACACGGUCCAGACUCCUACGGGAGGCAGCAGUGGGGAAUUUUGGACAAUGGACGCAAGUCUGAUCUAGCAAUACCGCGUGCAGGACGAAGGCCUUCGGGUUGUAAACUGCUUUUGUAUGGGAGCAAUAAGGUCUAUGCGUAGACUGAUGAGAGUACCAUACGAAUAAGCAUCGGCUAACUCCGUG
rnacentral:rRNA from 1 species